rnacentral:rRNA from 1 species
UACGUAGGGUGCGAGCGUUAAUCGGAAUUACUGGGCGUAAAGCGUGCGUAGGCGGUUCGCUGUGUCCGAUGUGAAAGCCCCGGGCUUAACCUGGGAAUGGCAUUGGAAACUGGCGGGCUUGAGUGUGGCAGAGGGGGGUGGAAUUCCACGUGUAGCAGUGAAAUGCGUAGAUAUGUGGAGGAACACCGAUGGCGAAGGCAGCCCCCUGGGUAGAUACUGACGCUGAGGUGCGAAAGCGUGGGGAGCAAACAGG